AUGAAGAACGCAGCGAAAUGCGAUAAGUAAUGUGAAUUGCAGAAUUCAGUGAAUCAUCGAAUCUUUGAACGCACAUUGCGCCCCCUGGUAUUCCGGGGGGCAUGCCUGUCCGAGCGUCAUUACAACCCUCAAGCUCAGCUUGGUGUUGGGCCCCGCCGCCCCGGCGGGCCCUAAAGUCAGUGGCGGUGCCGUCCGGCUCCGAGCGUAGUAAUUCUUCUCGCUCUGGAGGCCCGGUCGUGUGCUCGCCAGCAACCCCCAAUUUUUUUCAGGUUGACCUCGGAUCAGGUAGGGAUACCCGCUGAACUUAAGCAUAUCAAUAAGCGGAGGA
rnacentral:misc_RNA from 1 species